rnacentral:rRNA from 1 species
CCUACGGGAGACAGCAGUGGGGAAUAUUGGACAAUGGGGGGAACCCUGAUCCAGCGACGCCGCGUGAGUGAAGAAGUAUUUCGGUAUGUAAAGCUCUAUCAGCAGGGAAGAAAGAAAUGACGGUACCUGACUAAGAAGCCCCGGCUAACUACGUGCCAGCAGCCGCGGUAAUACGGAGGGGGCAAGCGUUAUCCGGAUUUACUGGGUGUAAAGGGAGCGUAGACGGGGAUGCAAGUCUGAAGUGAAAGGCGGGGGCCCAACCCCCGGACUGCUUUGGAAACUGUAUGGCUGGAGUGCAGGAGAGGUAAGUGGAAGUCCUAGUGGGGCGGUGAAAUGCGUAGAUAUUAGGAGGAAAACCAGGGGGGAAGGCGGCUGACUGGACUGUAACUGACGUUGAGGCUCGAAAGCGUGGGGAGCAAACAGGAUUAGAUACCCGGGUAGUC